ensembl:lncRNA
UGCAGACAGCAGUCACCUGUGGGCACAGGGACUGACCAGAGAAGUGCAAACACAGCUUGACUAAUGAGCACCAAUUAAAAAUCUGACCUGGUGCAACCUAGCACGGGGAGGAAGGUUGGAAAUUACAGGUGAGGAGCAAAAGGAAAGAAAGCUUUUGAAGUAGCCUUUUACUCAAACAAUGCAAAAAGCCUUUUACUUGCCUAUGUUAAUCUUGGAAAAUUAGCAUUUAAUUUCUGUAAUUAGCCUUUCACGCGCCCCAAGGAUACAAGCAUACAUUUACACACUCAUUUCUUUUAAAUCUUGGAGGCUUGUCGUUCGGUUGCUAAGGGGAAGAAAAGGUUUUAGUUGGAGACAAACAGAAAACAGAACUUGCUCCCAGGUGUUGGUGAAUCAUCAGGAUUCAAGAAGCAGUCUGGCUCAAGACUCAGUCUUUUGUUUUACAAGGAGCUCCAUUACCGGAUCUCUUAAGGCUCACAGUCUACUUAUAAGUUGCUUGGUUCUCCAGAUUUGAUUCUUGGUGAACUUGACAAGUCUUCCUUGGGCCAGUACCCUACUGGGCUGGUGAUGGAUGGCAUCGAGCUAUGUCCAAGAAGGUGGCAGUUUGUGACAUGUCCUGUUGACUUCAGCAACGGUUGACUUUUAAGUGUCAUUUAUUCAGCAUACUGAGGAUAAGAAGCCCUGUUCUGCAGGAAGCCAAGGUUUGUUUAUUGUGCUCAAGAAACAUGGAAGACAACAAGGAGUUUUUGGGUUGAGGAAGAAAGGAAGAAAGGUCUCCCUAUGAUCCUGCUAACUUUGUACAGGUUUUGAGAGGCCCAUCUGUGCAGGGACUUCAUUGGUCCUCAUUUGCCUGCUAUCAUAUUGUAGUCUGCACCAGACCUCAGACCUGCAAUACUGCAAGAAAUAGAAGUACAGUGAUUGUCUCCACUUACAGUCAGUGGCUAUCAAUGAAUGUUGCACUUUGAAUGAAUUCAGAGUAAACUGGCAGAAAUUUUAAGAAACUCUUCAUCAAAGUGAAAUAUCAUAGAAGGCUGCUGUUGUAACUUUCAGCCACUAGCAAACUGAGUCUUACAAAGAACUUGACUCAACCAGUUAGACAGAAUGGAGCCGUACAGCCGUACACCAAUGGAGCCUUAAGGACUGUACAGGGAACUUCUUGACUCAGACACCUAGCUUAACGACUGGUUGAGAAUGAGAGAAUGAAGCAUUAACAACUCAAGUUGGAAGCUGUAAGAUCUAUGGGCCCCAUUCUAGAAGCAGAGCGUGUGGAGUGUGCGGGCUGUUUAUCUUCACUGUCUCCUCAUGGCUAAUAAACAUCAGAAAAGGAGGAUGCACGACUACCAGAGAUCCUGUUCAAAAACUCCCAAAUCUUCUAGACAUAAGUGGGGCAGUCUUGGACCAACUGGACUAUGUAACAAUGAAUACACACAUUCACCUCUGUCUGCCCACCAGCCCCAGAUUG